AGCAAGCACCGGCUAACUCCGUGCCAGCAGCCGCGGUAAUACGGAGGGUGCAAGCGUUACUCGGAAUCACUGGGCGUAAAGCGCGCGCAGGCGGCCAUUUAAGUUGGAUGUGAAAGCCUACGGCUCAACCGUAGAACUGCAUCCAAAACUAUUUGGCUAGAGUGUGGGAGAGGAAGAUGGAAUUAGUUGUGUAGGGGUAAAAUCCGUAGAGAUAACUAGGAAUACCAAAAGCGAAGGCAAUCUUCUGGAACAUUACUGACGCUGAGGCGCGAAAGCGUGGGGAGCAAACAGGAUUAGAUACCCUGGUAGUCCACGCCCUAAACGAUGAAUGUUAGUCGUCGGGUAGCUAGUCUAUUCGGUGAUGCAGCUAACGCAUUAAACAUUCCGCCUGGGGAGUACGGUCGCAAGAUUAAAACUCAAAGGAAUAGACGGGGACCCGCACAAGUGGUGGAGCAUGUGGUUUAAUUCGAAGAUACGCGAAGAACCUUACCUAGCCUUGACAUAUAUUAGAACUCAGUAGAGAUACAGAGGUGCCUUCGGGAGCUUUCUUACAGGUGCUGCACGGCUGUCGUCAGCUCGUGUCGUGAGAUGUUGGGUUAAGUCCCGCAACGAGCGCAACCCUCGUCACUAGUUACUAACGGUUCGGCCGAGGACUCUAGUGAGACUGCCUUCGUAAGGAGGAGGAAGGUGAGGACGACGUCAAGUCAUCAUGGCCCUUACGGCUAGGGCAACACACGUGCUACAAUGGCCAGGACAGUGAGACGCGAUACCGUGAGGUGGAGCAAAUCUAUAAACCUGGUCUCAGUUCGGAUUGUAGUCUGCAACUCGACUACAUGAAGCUGGAAUCACUAGUAAUCGUA
rnacentral:rRNA from 1 species